CCCUUAGAUGUCCUGGGCUGCACGCGCGCUACACUGAUGUGUCCAGUAAGCACCUAACCUCUUCCGAAAGGAACGGGUAACCUUUGCAAAGCACAUCGUGAUGGGGAUAGAUUAUUGCAAUUAUUAGUCUUGAACGAGGAAUUCCUAGUAAGCACAAGUCAUCAGCUUGUGUUGAUUACGUCCCUGCCCUUUGUACACACCGCCCGUCGCUCCUACCGAUUGAAUGUUCCGGUGAGCUCUUCGGACUGCGCGGUCUGCAGUUUCUGCGUUCCGUGCGGUAAGUUGCGCAAACCUUAACAUUUAGAGGAAGGAGAAGUCGUAACA
rnacentral:rRNA from 1 species